CGGGUGAGUAACACGUGGGUAACCUGCCUGUAAGACUGGGAUAACUCCGGGAAACCGGAGCUAAUACCGGAUAGUUCCUUGAACCGCAUGGUUCAAGGAUGAAAGACGGUUUCGGCUGUCACUUACAGAUGGACCCGCGGCGCAUUAGCUAGUUGGUGGGGUAAUGGCUCACCAAGGCGACGAUGCGUAGCCGACCUGAGAGGGUGAUCGGCCACACUGGGACUGAGACACGGCCCAGACUCCUACGGGAGGCAGCAGUAGGGAAUCUUCCGCAAUGGACGAAAGUCUGACGGAGCAACGCCGCGUGAGUGAUGAAGGUUUUCGGAUCGUAAAGCUCUGUUGUUAGGGAAGAACAAGUGCGAGAGUAACUGCUCGCACCUUGACGGUACCUAACCAGAAAGCCACGGCUAACUACGUGCCAGCAGCCGCGGUAAUACGUAGGUGGCAAGCGUUGUCCGGAAUUAUUGGGCGUAAAGGGCUCGCAGGCGGUUUCUUAAGUCUGAUGUGAAAGCCCCCGGCUCAACCGGGGAGGGUCAUUGGAAACUGGGAAACUUGAGUGCAGAAGAGGAGAGUGGAAUUCCACGUGUAGCGGUGAAAUGCGUAGAGAUGUGGAGGAACACCAGUGGCGAAGGCGACUCUCUGGUCUGUAACUGACGCUGAGGAGCGAAAGCGUGGGGAGCGAACAGGAUUAGAUACCCUGGUAGUCCACGCCGUAAACGAUGAGUGCUAAGUGUUAGGGGGUUUCCGCCCCUUAGUGCUGCAGCUAACGCAUUAAGCACUCCGCCUGGGGAGUACGGUCGCAAGACUGAAACUCAAAGGAAUUGACGGGGGCCCGCACAAGCGGUGGAGCAUGUGGUUUAAUUCGAAGCAACGCGAAGAACCUUACCAGGUCUUGACAUCCUCUGACAACCCUAGAGAUAGGGCUUUCCCUUCGGGGACAGAGUGACAGGUGGUGCAUGGUUGUCGUCAGCUCGUGUCGUGAGAUGUUGGGUUAAGUCCCGCAACGAGCGCAACCCUUGAUCUUAGUUGCCAGCAUUCAGUUGGGCACUCUAAGGUGACUGCCGGUGACAAACCGGAGGAAGGUGGGGAUGACGUCAAAUCAUCAUGCCCCUUAUGACCUGGGCUACACACGUGCUACAAUGGACAGAACAAAGGGCUGCAAGACCGCAAGGUUUAGCCAAUCCCAUAAAUCUGUUCUCAGUUCGGAUCGCAGUCUGCAACUCGACU
rnacentral:rRNA from 1 species